rnacentral:piRNA from 1 species
UGAAUUCCUUGAUGCCUUCGUCCUUUGGGA